GGAUGGAUCAUUACAGAGAAUAAGGAUGAGAGUAUUGUGAAUAGAAGAAGAAGGAUGUAUGUGAGAGUGAGGCUUUGGCCUUGGCUCUCUACACUCAAAAAAAACGCCGCGUAUUUAUCUUGUACUGAAGUGUACUUUAAUGUAAAGUAAAGUAAAGACAACUUUUAGCAACGGAUCUCUUGGCUCUCGCAACGAUGAAGAACGCAGCGAAAUGCGAUAAGUAGUGUGAAUUGCAGAUACCGUGAAUCAUCAAGUCUUUGAACGCACAUUGCACUGUCUGGAACUCCGGGCAGUAUACCUGUUUGAGUAUCAGCCAACACUCCUAGCAUAGUUUCUUGGUAAAGGGGGCUUAGGUAGGGAUUUGAGCAAUCAUUUGGUGGUAGGUGGUGGGUACUAGGUACCUACCCUACCUGGCAUGUGUGGCUUUAAAUAGAGUUACAACUUCGGGCUGCUUUCAGCACCAACGAGUAGGUGACAGAGUUAAUGGGCAAAAUGCCUGUGGCUGUCUUCUGUAUGGUUGGUGGUGGUGGUGGUGAGCAAAGAAGUUGUUCCACUUGGAACACAGUGGUAAGUGCUGUGAUGUUGAUCUCAAAUCAGGUAAGAUUACCCGCUGAACUUAAGCAUAUUAAUAAGCGGAGGAAAAGAAACUAACCAGGAUUCCCUUAGUAACGGCGAGUGAAGCGGGAACAGCUCAAAUUUAAAAUCUCUUCGGAGAAUUGUAGUUUGUAGAGGUGCUUUCGUUGACGGCCUGGGUAUAAGUCCCUUGGAAGAGGGCAUCAUAGAGGGUGAGAAUCCCGUCUUUGAUCCGGUCACCGUCACAAUGUGAUGCACUCUCAAAGAGUCGGGUUGUUUGGGAAUGCAGCCCUAAGUGGGUGGUAUAUUUCAUCUAAAGCUAAAUAGUGGCGAGAGACCGAUAGCGAACAAGUACCGUGAGGGAAAGAUGAAAAGAACUUUGAAAAGAGAGUUAAAUAGUACGUGAAAUUGCUAAAAGGGAAACGAUUGAAAUCAGUGUUGGGCGGAGUAAAUCAGCUAGUCAGAAAUGGGUGGUGCACUUUACUUUGGCCAGGUCAACGUGAGUUUUGGUUGGGGGUAAAUUAGUAUGGGAAGGUGACUCCUUGGCGGGAGUGUUAUAGCCUGUAUGAGUGCCCUGACUGGGAUUGAGGAGAGCAGUGUAUGCCCGGUGAAGGGCUGGCGAACUAGGCAGUAUUAGUGGAGUGAUUAGUGGCAGCAUGCUGAGACUGGUUAAUACCGCUUGUACGUGGCUGGGUAGCACAAAUGCACUAAGGAUGUUGACGAAAUGGUUUUAAACGACCCGUUUUGAAACACGGACCAAGGAGUCUAACACAUGUGCGAGUGUUUGGGUGGGAAGCCCAGGCGCGUAAUGAAAGUAAACGUAGGUGGGAACCCCGGAUUAGCCGCAGUAGUGGUGGUAGGGGGUGCAGCAUCGACCGGUCUGGAUUAAUUUUAAUGAUAGAUCUGAGUAAGAGCAUAUAUGUUGGGACCCGAAAGAUGGUGAACUAUGCCUGAAUAGGGCGAAGCCAGAGGAAACUCUGGUGGAGGCUCGUAUCGGUACUGACGUGCAAAUCGUUCGUCAAAUUUGGGUAUAGGGGCGAAAGACUAAUCGAACCAUCUAGUAGCUGGUUCCCUC
rnacentral:misc_RNA from 1 species